rnacentral:lncRNA from 1 species
AUGAGGGGCUGGACCCUUUCCCCAUCCUGAGGGGCUCCUGUGAGGGGCUGGGCCCCCUCCCCAUCCUGAGGCGCCCCAUUUGUCUGUGAGGGGCUGGGGCUGGGCCCCUUCCCCACCCUGAGGGGCUCAGAGCAGACCCCGACCCCCUCUGAGGGUCUUCCCAGCUGAGCUCUGCCCAUAGCCCUGCCUGCUUUACAGAAUAUUUUUCAUCGCUUGGAUGCUUCAUUUUGAGGCAGUGACCCGAGCAGGAGCUGAGCUGGUCCCUUGGUGCAGCAGUUUUGGGGCUGGGGACACAGCCCAGGUGUGCAGGAGGAGCAGCUCAUACAGGAAAAUUCCCUGUGUUCUCCCCAUCCCCAGGCACCCUCUC